UACGUAGGGUGCAAGCGUUAAUCGGAAUUACUGGGCGUAAAGCGUGCGCAGGCGGUUAUGUAAGACAGGUGUGAAAGCCCCGGGCUCAACCUGGGAAUGGCGAUGGAUACUGGCUCGCUAGAGUGCGGUAGAGGAGAGUGGAAUUCCCGGUGUAGCAGUGAAAUGCGUAGAGAUCGGGAGGAACAUCAGUUGCGAAGGCGGCUCUCUGGACCAGCACUGACACUGAGGCACGAAAGCGUGGGGAGCAAACAGG
rnacentral:rRNA from 1 species